AAAACGCUCAUAGCACAUAUAAUUGAUUCAUAUCAAUUAUAAUAUUUUAUGUUACAAUGAAAGAUUAAUAUUGAAUGGUUAAAGAAACUUUAGUUAUUAUGAUCAGUGUAGAAAUACAUUGUGAUUCAUCUUCGGAUGUUAGCUAAAAAAGAUUAAGUUAGAACAAAUUAGAGUGUUUAAAACAAGCUAUAAUUGCUUUGAAUAGAUUAGCUUGCUAUUACGAAAUAUGACUUUCCAUAAUUAAAGAGUUUGUACACGCAAGUGUAGUUAUGGAAUGUAAUGAAAAAUGAGAAUUGUUUGAGUAACUUUUAUUCUGUGGGUAGAGGUGAAAUUCUAUGAUCCACAGAAGAAACACUAAUGCGAAAGCAUUUUACUGAGAUGUUUUUGCCUGUCAAGAACGAAAGUUGAGGGCGCGAAGAUGAUUAGAUACCAUCGUAGUCUCAACUGUAAACUAUGUUGAUUUAGGAUAUGGAAUCAUUUAUUAUGACUUUCCAUGAACUAUACGGGAAACCUAGAAUAUUCGAACUCUGGGGGAAGUAUAGUCGCAAGACCGAAACUUAAAAGAAUUGACGGAAGAGCACCACCAGGCGUGGAACCUGCGGCUUAAUUUGACCCAACGCGGGGAAGCUCACCAGGUCAGGACAUAAAAAGGAUUGACAGAUUGAUAGAUCUUUCAUGAUAUUAUGAAAGGUGGUGCAUGGCCGAUUUUAGUUGGUGGUUUGAAUUGUCUGGUUAAUUCCGAUAACGAACAAGACCUUUAUCUGCUAUUUAGCAAUAGAAGGUUCUAUAACUUAGGAUAAACUUCGGUUUAUCUUAUACUUUGGAAUACCCAAAGUUUGCUUCUUAGAGAGACUCUUUUUGUUUGUGAAACAAUUAAAAGGAAGAAAGACAAUAUCAGGUCUGUGAUGCCCUUAGAUGUUUUGGGCUGCACGCGCGUUACAAUGAAAUAUUCACUUAGUAUUACCUAAUAAGAAAUUAUUUAGGAAAUCUCAAAACCUAUUUCGUGAUGGGGAUAGAGUUUUGUAAUUAUCGCUCUUGAACGAGGAAUGCCUUGUAUAGGUUUAUCAUCAAUGAACCUAGAAUAAGUCCCUGCUCUUUGUACACACCGCCCGUCGCUUAUACUGAUUGAAUUAUGAUAUGAGGACCUUAGACUAUAGACGUUUGUGAUCUAG
rnacentral:rRNA from 1 species